rnacentral:rRNA from 1 species
UACGUAGGGGGCAAGCGUUGUUCGGAAUUACUGGGCGUAAAGGGCGCGUAGGCGGCACGGCAAGUCAGGAGUGAAAGCCCUGGGCUCAACCCGGGAACUGCUUUUGAAACUGCCGAGCUAGAGUGCGGAAGGGGCAACUGGAAUUCCCAGUGUAGCGGUGAAAUGCGUAGAUAUCAGGGGGAACACCGGUGGCGAAGGCGGGAUCCUGGGCCAGUACUGACGCUGAGGAGCGAAAGCGUGGGGAGCAAACAGG